GCGGAUGUAGCCAAGUGGAUUAAGGCAGUGGAUUGU
rnacentral:tRNA from 1 species